UGCAGAUGAUGUAAACGAGUAUUUGCUAUCUUAUAACAAUGACGACAAUUUCCCACCAAGAUCGCUGAUGCA
rnacentral:snoRNA from 1 species